UGGGGGUGGGGCUCGUUGUGCUGAACGCCAAAAAUGCAACCUGGUUGUGAGUGUGUUCCCAACUGACGCAAUGUUCAAGCCAUCCGCCUCUGCCAUCAAGAGUACUGAAGGAUGCUCUCUGUUGGACGUGUAGAAUAUUUAAGUGUAGCCUGUAGGGUGUGAAGUAUGAAAUUCAGAACAUCUCAGAAUGCCAUGCCAAACAAAGCAUGAGAUGUUCUGAAUUUCAUAUUUAACACCCAAACACAACCAUGUUAGUCUGUAGCCUUCAAAUAAACAUCUUUCUGUAAGCUACUAUUGCUUUUUACUUGUGCAGGAGCUGAAGUUGGGUGUUGUUGGGUCAGAGAUAGCUAGUGGGACUAGUACCUCUCAAGCCCAUUUUGAUGGCAGCUGAUUUAAAUAUUACACAUACUGGGUCUCAACUUCAUACCUGAGUUCAAGCCUCAGGAAAAAUUAUUGAGUAUCGUGUUGGGAGCAAUGCAGAUGGUCCUUUGGCCAGUGGUAGUGUGCGCUCAUUUGUGGAACAGCUGACAGAGAGAACGUCAGCACCAGGAGGGGGCUCUACUUCAGCCUACAUUACUAGUAUGGGAGCAGCAUUGGGUUUGCAAGAUAUGGAAGCGUUUCAUUCUGACCAGUAUUUGCUCAUGACUCCGUAACAUUGUAGUAUUAUAUGAACCAUAAGCCAUGCCAAAACGUGUGUUGCUUAAUAGGUAUCACUUGUUUCUGUUUUGUUACAGGAUUUCCCC